CUACGGGAGGCAGCAGUGAGGAAUAUUGGUCAAUGGGCGCAAGCCUGAACCAGCCAUCCCGCGUGCAGGAAGAAGGCGCUAUGCGUUGUAAACUGCUUUUCCAGGGGGCGAAUAGCUUCUACGUGUAGGGGUAUGACGGUACCCUGGGAAUAAGCAUCGGCUAACUCCGUGCCAGCAGCCGCGGUAAUACGGAGGAUGCGAGCGUUAUCCGGAUUUAUUGGGUUUAAAGGGUGCGUAGGCGGGAUAAUAAGUCAGUGGUGAAAACCUGCAGCUUAACUGUAGAACUGCCAUUGAUACUGUUAUUCUUGAGUGUGGUCAAGGUAGGCGGAAUGUGUAAUGUAGCGGUGAAAUGCUUAGAUAUUACACAGAACACCGAUUGCGAAGGCAGCUUACUGGACCAUUACUGACGCUGAUGCACGAAAGCGUGGGGAGCGAACAGGAUUAGAUACCCCAGUAGUCC
rnacentral:rRNA from 1 species